CAGCCUGCAAACAUUACAUGUAGUACCUCAUACUCUUCACAUCACUUCUACACCAUCUGUGCUGGUCAGUUUAAUGUGUCAACUUGGCUAGGCUCUAGCACCUAGUUAUUCCAUCAAGCACUAAUGCAGGUGCUGCUGUGACGGUAUUAUAGUUAUCAUGGGUUAAUGUCUACAGUCGGGGACUUUAAGUAAGGAUUGUCCUUGAUAUUCUGGGGACCUCAUCCAAUCAGUAGAAAGACCUCAACAGCAAAACUGAGGUUCACUGAGGAAAAUAAAAUUUUGCCCCCGGUCUCGUCCACAGCAUCAGCUCCUGCCUGCAGACCUCUAGUCUGUCAGCCUGCCCUGCAGAUUUCAGCCUUACUAGGCCGGACUCCACAGUCCCACAGCCAAUUCCUUAAAAUAUACAUAUUUAAAUUCCUGAUUCUGUUUAUCUGGUAUAACCCCUACCAAUGCACCGUAUAAAUUUAUGGAGGGUGCAGAGAGGAUUGUGGUGGAGGAAGUGCAGUUCUACUACAGCAAAAGUUGAGUUAGAAAUUCCUGCCGCAGUUGGAUAUGGGUUGAGUUGGGUCAAGGGUGGCAAUCAAUAAGGUUAAUAAAGCAUAAUUGACGCAAGGAGCGCAUCGCUCUGGCUUGGCCGGGACCAGAGCUUGGGGGAGGCCUCCUUGUCCACUGCGAAGACUUUGGGGAAGGCGACGGCCAGGGGACGUCGCCGGGGGCUGUCUCCACCUCUUCUGGCGAGUUGGACCUAUGAGUGCGCAGCUCCGCUUACAACUAUCA
rnacentral:lncRNA from 1 species